GCACACCUAGUUGUGCCAUCCUCAGCCAAAGCCCACCAGAUCCAUCCUGUAAAGUCACACGCCUGAAUCUUCUUGAUUUGCCAGGAUGAACAGUCAAAAGAAACGAAAAGAUAUGGAACCUGCUUGCACCUGGAGCUUAUUGUCUGAACAGAAAGCUGCUUCAAGUUCUCUGGCUUCAUUUUCAUGGAAGGAGCUUACAGAUUACAGGAAAGUAUUUAGAAAACAUCUAAAAGAAAAAUACCUAAAAAAAGGAGUUGACAAAUGUUAUCACCAUGGCAAGCAUAUAGAGUCACGACUGCUUGUUGUAAAAGAACACUGUAUAUCAGAAAAGCCACCAUGCGGAAUUCCUCAACAAAAUAAUUUUAUUGAGAUGGAACAUAUAUUUGAUCCUGAUGAAGAGGGCUCCAGCUUAUCCCAAACUGUGGUGCUUCAGGGAUGUGCUGGGAUUGGGAAAACAGCUGUGGUGCAUAAGUUCAUGUUUGACUGGGCAGCAGGAAUGGUUACUCCAGGCAGAUUUGACUAUCUCAUCUAUGUAAACUGCAGAGAAAUAAGCCGUUUUGCUAACCUUAGUGCUGCUGACCUGAUCACUAACACUUUUCAAGAUAUAGACGGACCAAUCCUGGAUGUUAUUCUUGUAUAUCCAGAGAAGCUUCUGUUCAUUCUUGAUGGAUUUCCUGAGCUUCAGUACCCUGUAGGUGACCAGGAAGAGGAUCUUAGUGCCAAUCCCCUGGAGAGGAAGCCAGUAGAGACCCUCUUAUGUAGUUUCGUGAGGAAAAAACUGUUUCCUGAAUCCUCCCUCCUGAUAACUGCCCGGCCUACAACCAUGAAGAAGCUUCACUCUCUGUUAAAACAAGCUACCCAGGCAGAGAUCCUGUGGUUUACAGAUGCUGAAAAAAGAGCAUAUUUCUUGAGUCAGUUUUCAGGUGCUAAUGCUGCAAUGAGAGUUUUUUAUGGUCUGCGAGAAAAUGAAGGCCUUGACAUUAUGUCUUCUCUUCCCAUCAUCUCCUGGAUGAUCUGCAGUGUCCUGCAGUCACAGGGAGAUGGUGACAGGACUCUUAUGAGAUCACUUCAAACCAUGACUGAUGUGUAUCUGUUCUACUUUUCCAAGUGCCUCAAAACCCUUACAGGCAUCUCGGUGUGGAAGGGACAGAGUUGCCUGUGGGGCCUUUGCUCUUUGGCUGCAGAGGGACUGCAGAACCAGCAGGUCCUGUUUGAAAUCAGUGACCUCAGAAGACAUGGGAUAGGAGUGUAUGAUACCAACUGCACUUUUCUCAAUCACUUUUUGAAAAAAGUUGAAGGAGGUGUCAGUGUCUAUACUUUCCUUCACUUCAGUUUCCAAGAGUUCCUGACUGCUGUGUUCUAUGCCCUGAAGAAUGACAGCAGCUGGAUGUUUUUUGAUCAAGUGGGGAAAACGUGGCAAGAAAUAUUCCAACAAUAUGGAAAAGGGUUUUCAUCAUUAACAAUACAGUUCUUAUUUGGCCUCUUACAUAAAGGAAAGGGAAAGUCUGUGGAAACUACUUUUGGGAGAAAAGUCUCUCCAGGACUUCGAGAGGAGUUAUUGAAGUGGACUGAGAAAGAAAUAAACGAUAAAUCUUCUAGGUUACAGAUUGAGCCAAUGGACUUGUUUCACUGUUUGUAUGAGAUUCAGGAAGAAGAAUAUGCAAAAAGGAUAAUUGAUGAUUUAGGGUCAAUUAUACUGCUUCAACCUACCUAUACAAAAAUGGACAUUCUGGCUAUGUCAUUCUGUGUAAAAAGCAGUCAUAGUCACCUGUCAGUGUCUCUGAAGUGUCAGCAUCUACUUGGAUUUGAGGAGGAAGAUCGAGCUUCAGCAUUCAUGCCACCAACCUUGACACUUAAUCAGCCCUUCCAGCUGCGUAAUUGGCCAGUCUCUCCACUCCACUUGCUCUGCCAAGCACUGCGUAACCCAUACUGUAAAGUCAAAGACCUGAAACUGAUUUUCUGCCACCUCACAGCUUCUUAUGGCAGAGACCUCGCCUUAGUAUUUGAAACCAACCAAUAUCUGACAGAUUUGGAAUUUGUGAAAAAUACCCUGGAAGAUUCCGGAAUGAAGCUUCUGUGUGAAGGAUUAAAACAGCCAAAUUGUAUCUUACAGACAUUGAGGUUGUACCGAUGCCUUAUCUCUCCUGCUUCUUGUGGUGCGCUAGCGGCUGUUCUCAGCACCAAUCAGUGGCUCACUGAGCUGGAAUUUAGUGAAACAAAACUGGAAGCUUCAGCUUUGAAAUUGCUCUGUGAAGGCUUAAAAGAUCCAAAUUGCAAAGUACAGAAGCUCAAGUUGUGUGCUAGCUUUCUCCCUGGAAGCUCAGAGACUAUUUGCAGAUAUCUUGCCUCUGUUCUCAUUUGCAAUCCAAACCUCACUGAGCUGGACCUGAGUGAAAAUCCCCUGGGGGACACAGGGGUGAAGUAUCUUUGUGAGGGUCUCAGACAUUCCAACUGUAAAGUAGAGAAACUAGACUUGAGCACAUGUUACCUAACAGAUGCUAGCUGUGUGGAGCUCUCUUCUUUCUUGCAAGUGAGUCAGACUUUAAAAGAGCUGUUUGUGUUUGCCAAUGCCCUGGGGGACACAGGAGUACAGCAUCUCUGUGAAGGUCUGCGGCAUGCAAAUGGUAUAAUCGAGAAUCUUGUGCUUUCCGAAUGUUCCCUCUCUGCAGCUUGUUGUGAGUCCCUCGCCCAAGUCCUGAGCUCUACCCGGAGCCUGACAAGGCUGCUUCUAAUUAAUAACAAAAUUGAAGAUUUGGGACUGAAAUUGCUGUGUGAAGGAUUAAAACAGCCUGACUGUCAGUUAAAGGAUCUGGCACUGUGGACCUGUCACCUGACUGGAGAGUGUUGUCAGGAUUUGUGCAAUGCACUGUACACCAAUGAACACCUACGAGUUCUUGACCUCAGCGACAAUGCCUUAGGGGACGAGGGCAUGCAGGUGCUGUGUGAAGGGCUGAAACACCCCUCCUGCAAGCUACAGACCUUGUGGCUAGCAGAAUGUCAUCUCACAGAUGCAUGCUGUGGAGCACUCGCCUCUGUCCUCAACAGAAAUGAGAACCUAACGUUGCUAGACUUAAGUGGAAAUGACCUUAAGGAUUUCGGAGUUCAAAUGCUGUGUGAUGCACUGAUUCAUCCAAUAUGUAAACUACAAACGUUCUAGCCAACCUUCAAACCCUUGUAAUUUGUCAAUCUACAAGUUGAUAGCAGUGUGCAGUAGUAGCUCAAAAUACAAAAUAAAGGACACACACACACGCACACACAGAGUAGACACCAUUCACUGACCUCAAAUAAAUUUUGAACAUUAGAGUGGAUAUAAGACAGAUAACACUGAAAUCAAUAGAAAUAUGUACUUGCCCAAGUAAAGUGAGAGGAAACUGUUGAUCAUUUAAUGUGGUGGUGGGCUAGAGAGGGGAUAAAUCCAGGAGAGCCUCCUAAAAGGGGAGUCUUGUCUGAGAAUUGGAAAGGCUGAUGGAAGAAGAUUGUUUUCUAAGAGCUGCUUCAGUGUGAGGUCUGAAUCUUAUUCCUCAUUGUAUUUUCCCCCAUAAACUUUCUAGUUCAGUGCUUUGCGUUUAGUAAAUGCAUAUAGGAAACCAGUUAUUAAUUGAGAGCAUCCGGGGGCAAGGCAAGGAGACAGUUGAUGAUAUGUUCAAUAAAGACUAGGUAUCUAGACCUUCAGAAGAUUGAGGGGAAAAAAAGAGGCUGUGGCCUCAAAGUGACAGUGCUCACCUCCACUCAUUCUCCAAGCACUUGCUGAAUAUCUGCUAUGUGCCAGGCAAAUGUGCCAGGUGCUGGGAGACAAGAAUGAGUAAGAUGAGAGACAUGAUUUGUACUCUUUAGGGACCAGUGGACCUAGUGGUAGAGACAGGCACAUAAACUGAUGAAUGCAGUAGGGUAAUCAUGAAAUCUUAAGGGAACCAUGGCAGGAGACAACUCACCCAGCCCAGGAGGCUCAGGGAAAGAUUCCUGGAGGAAGGGCCACCUGAGUUGAGUCUCGGGACUGUAGCCAGGGACAUGGGGGUAAGGAUGGAGAAGGGUAGUCCAUGCUCAGGAGAUAGCAUGAGCAAAGGUAGACAGACAAUAAGCAGCAUGUUUUGUGGUACUUGAGGGGGAUAGAGGUGGGAAACCUCUAGGAAGUUCGCUAUUGUUAGAGCAUAAAGUGCAAAGCAGAAUGUGUCAAGAAAUGAGACUGAGGGGGUAGGCAAGGCCUUGUAUGCCAUGUGUGAUUAGUAAGAUCUGUUUGCAGAAUUCCGGGUUCGAAUUCAGUUGUCACUCUUCUCUUUCACAUAUCUGAGUAGUAGUACAUUUGGGGGCCUUUCCUCACCUUUCCAAAACUGGUUCCAAAGAUGGAGCCAGUUUUGCUUCCAAAGCUGGUUGGAGAAUCAGUCCACUGCUACUGCUGUUUCUUACUGCCACAUGGGGCUCAUCUUGAGAACUGAUGAUCCUACCCAGUCCCACAGAAGCUUGGUGACUAGACGGUGAUACCCUGGCUGGUGUGGAUCCCUCCCAGCCCUGCAGUGCCGUCAUACUUGGACUCCGAGGUUACAUAUAUUUUAGUGCACACCCAAAUGUGCAGUCAUUGUUCUCUAAAGUACCAUAUGUGUCCAAGUGUCUGGGUCUAGAAGAGCUCUUUGAAUCAGCCACAGGUAUGUAUGUGUGAAGCCAGACCUUGCCCACAAAGAUGUAGGCCCCUGAGUUGAGUCAGGAGCCCCACUUAAGCCUUCUUCUUUCUUCAAGAUAUUUUAUUUUUGGUGCCUUGGUGCCUUUCCCAGGCACUGGGCCUUGGAUAAAGCCCCCUAGAUCACCCUGACACACGUUCCUAAUUCUAAAUUUGGAAAGAAGGGGUUGAGAGUGAGAGUAGGUGGUCUCUUAACUCCCGGAAGACCUCCAGGCUUCCUAAGCAUAUUGACCUGCCUCUUCUCCAGCAGUGAGUCAUACAUGUCAGGAGGUAAGACAGCUUUUGCUAAGUCACUCAAAAAAUUCUAAAGUUCUUGUUACACUUCCAUGGCAUUAAAUGUCUACUUACCCUACAAUUGCAUAACUAGCAGGGCUACUCAUUUCACUUUGCUAGAUAAAGAUUAGCUUCUAUCUAUUAAAAACUAAAAACUGUACCUCACUACACACUUGAAUGAGUUUAUACCUUCUUUUGUAGUCAGUAGGUUUUAAUCAGGGAUACACAUGUGGAGUUUGAAGUGCCUGCAGGACAUUGUGGGAAGUUUUCUAGUAGGUAACAGUUGGAUAUAGGAGUGUUCCCUGGAGGUGAUAGCUGAAGCCAUGGCAAUGGAUGAGAUCCUCUAGGGAGAAUGAGAAGAGAAGAACCUCUGAGGAACAUCUCUUGGGAAUUAGCCCUGGGCAGUACCAACUUUUAAGAGCAUUGACACGGAUCAUUUACAUGAAGAAACAUUCAGAAAAAUAGAAGCUUUAAAAAUGAGCAAGCCUGGAAUCACCUGGUA